UGUACAAUUAAAAAAUCACACUACAGCCUCUUUAAAAUACCUGCCUUAUUAUAACAGGAUAAUUAUGCUGGUUUUAAUGGAGCUAGGUGCUUAGGGUAAGGCAACUUUAUGUACCAAAAGUACAUUACUUUCACUGAUAUUUGCAGCGAGAGUGUUUAUGAGGACUUCGUAAAAGAUGUAGUGUAGUCUGUAUAAGUUUUAAAAUACUUUGUGCGUUUAAAAUAACAGUGUCCUCCCACACACCAAAUAGGGAGUUCUCCUGGUCCCUGUUACAGUCCCAAAGCUCACCACAUUUGUGUCUUCACUCCAGUUCCCAUCCCUGCUAUGGUUCUCAUGUUACAGGGAUUGUCUUGCCCUUCCAGCAGAGGAUAGCUGGAUGCAAGUACUCCCCAUAUUAGUAUAGAGAUUGCUAGAGAAUGACGCAGAGGCUCUCUCUGCCUCCCAGUGGCUAAGCAUACGGCUUCUGCUACAUUCUCAGCCCCAGAGUGAAGAGCUGAUUUGGAGUUUGAAACAUGGUAGAGCAAUGCACUACUCUGAUGCUGCUGGAUGGGCUUGUAGGGUUGUCGAUUCCAGCAACAUGCCCCAAAGCACUGUGCUUUACUAUGCUGCCUCCUUUGAAGUAACCUGGGGAGUGGCAAGGAAAUAA
rnacentral:lncRNA from 1 species